rnacentral:rRNA from 1 species
GGCCAGACUCCUACGGGAGGCAGCAGUGGGGAAUAUUGCACAAUGGGGGAAACCCUGAUGCAGCGACGCCGCGUGAGUGAAGAAGUAUUUCGGUAUGUAAAGCUCUAUCAGCAGGGAAGAAAAUGACGGUACCUGAUUAAGAAGCCCCGGCUAACUACGUGCCAGCAGCCGCGGUAAUACGUAGGGGGCAAGCGUUAUCCGGAUUUACUGGGUGUAAAGGGAGCGUAGACGGCAGCGCAAGUCUGAAGUGAAAUGCCGGGGCUUAACCCCGGAACUGCUUUGGGAACUGUACGGCUGGAGUGCAGGAGAGGUAAGUGGAAUUCCUAGUGUAGCGGUGAAAUGCGUAGAUAUUAGGAGGAACACCAGUGGCGAAGGCGGCUUACUGGACUGUAACUGACGUUGAGGCUCGAAAGCGUGGGGAGCAAACAGGAUUAGAUACCCGAGUAA